rnacentral:rRNA from 1 species
GAUGAACGCUGGCGGCGUGCCUAAUACAUGCAAGUCGAGCGAACAGACGAGGAGCUUGCUCCUCUGACGUUAGCGGCGGACGGGUGAGUAACACGUGGAUAACCUACCUAUAAGACUGGGAUAACUUCGGGAAACCGGAGCUAAUACCGGAUAAUAUAUUGAACCGCAUGGUUCAAUAGUGAAAGACGGUUUUGCUGUCACUUAUAGAUGGAUCCGCGCCGCAUUAGCUAGUUGGUAAGGUAACGGCUUACCAAGGCAACGAUGCGUAGCCGACCUGAGAGGGUGAUCGGCCACACUGGAACUGAGACACGGUCCAGACUCCUACGGGAGGCAGCAGUAGGGAAUCGUCCGCAAUGGGCGAAAGCCUGACGGAGCAACGCCGCGUGAGUGAUGAAGGUCUGCGGAUCGUAAAACUCUGUUAUUAGGGAAGAACAAAUGUGUAAGGAACUAUGCACGUCUUGACGGUACCUAAUCAGAAAGCCACGGCUAACUAC